CAUCCUGCCCAGUGAAUUAAUUUUCAACGGCCGCGGUAUCCUGACCGUGCAAAGGUAGCAUAAUCAUUUGCCUUUUAAUUGAAGGCUAGUAUGAAAGGACACACAAGAAUAAUACUGUCUCAUUUGGGUUAUCUUAAAACUGAUUUUUAGGUGAAGAAGCCUAAAUUUCCAUAAAGGACAAGAAGACCCUAUAGAGCUUUAUCAGUAAAAGUUAUUAAACUCCCUUACUGUUUUGGUUGGGACAACCAAAAGACAAUAACACCUCUUUUUCUAGUAAUACAACUCACACCCAUAAUUGAAUUAGAAUUUCAAGCUACCUUAGGGAUAACAGGCUAAUCCCACUAGAGAGAUCACAUUGACAGUGGGGAUUGGCACCUCGAUGUUGGCUUAGUGUUACCAUUAGGCGCAGCCGCUUAAUUGA
rnacentral:rRNA from 1 species